ensembl:lincRNA
GAGGUGGACUGUUAAAUUAAGCUGUGCUGUCAAUUUGAUUUACUUGUUUCAAGUAUUUUGCCCAGCAAUGAGAAAGCUAUCUAAUACAAUGUGUCAAGCAGAAAUGGAAAAAGCAGAAACUAUGAAAAUUCAGGUGUGAGGCACUAUUGCUCCAAAGCUACAAGCAUGGAGGCUGAGGGGUAAUAAUGAGGUGAAAAUCAGAACAAGUUUAGCCAUAGAAGGUUGAAGAAUAUUAAUAGGUGGCCCAAAGUCUUAUUUUUUUACAAAAAUGGGAAGUUAGCUGCAGAACCUCAGUACCCUCAAAUGUCAUUGGGAAGGGAUAGAAUAUAUCCUGCCCGCCGCACCCCCCCUUGCUGAAGUAUUAAUUUGCCCUUUCUCUGCUGUCUCAUAAGCAUUUAUAUCAACGUUCACAAGCUUUCAGCUCUGAUUUAGGAGGCAGUUCUUCAAAGACAGAGUAAAGAUCUUCAAUUUCUUCUUCAUCCCUGUCCAGCACUCUGCACAAGAGCUGGUGUUCAAUAAAUGUUUUUGGAACUCAGAUAUGAGGGAUGAGCAAAAUGCCUUGAAUGAAAUAUGUUGUUGUUGUUUUUUCUUUUUCCUGGAUCCCAGACAGAAAAUGCCCAUUUGCUGGUCAUCGAGCUGGGGACAAGCUCUGCAGGUGAUGUGGGCAUGUACUCCAGGACCGUACCGCCAAGGACUCUACAGCCUAGAAGGCGCUGCGGUCAGGGUUUCCCUCGCAGGGGCUGAACAUCGCACCUCCCACCUCUAUCCCCUACCAAGAGGCCAGCAACCGUUCAUGUCCUUGAGGUGUGUCCCACUCUCUAGGUCUCCGCAAGAUCCUCCCCCCAGGAGUGUGGCACUGUGGACGGGAGGUGGCCGACAGGGCUUUGGCUUGUGCACCGCUGGAUGGGGCAGAUCUGCCCCGCCCAAGGACUCAUUUCCAUCUCCUUAAGCCAGCUGUUCUAAGAAGAUUUGUCCAUCUACUGUAUUUUAUAGUCACCCUGGGAAAGAGUGACAAGCAAGAUCAUAAGGCCAGGUAGAAAGAGAAUACUCGCCACACUCCAGUCUUCUGAGAACUCCCAGUCCAGUCCCCAUUCCCUUCACCCUGGCUGGCCUACAGAUGCACCAGCAAGGAGGUCCCAGUGCUGCUGAUCUUCGACCAUGAAACCUGAGAUCAUCAAAGGGCUGAAAUACCUCUGGGAGCUGGACAUCAGAUUGGCCCACACUUUGGAGCCCUCUGUGGAAACAUGCGCCCUUCCGGCCUCAGCCGGCACUCCAGGGGUAAUGCAUGUCCACAGGGCCGGGAUUGCUCCCAGUGCCACUGUGAGCUCAGCCGCCAGGCCGGUUCUCUGGGAAUCUCUCACCCUCCAUAAGCAGCCUGCUGGCACCGCAUGCAGCUCGCCACUCCCAGGUCCACGUCCCACGCUGAGCCCUGUUCACCUAAGUGCUGCCAAAGUUCUUCAAAGUAUUUGAAUGAAAUUCUUCAUAAAACAAACAUGAAAAUCUAUUACCAACAGUCACCAAAUGCUGGCGCCUUGACAAAUGGCCAACCUGCGAGCAUCGAGGAAGUGCGCCCUGCUGACUUGCAAAGGAGCUCUUCGCUUCAAGGAGGUGUGCAGUGCACGUGGCAGAGCACACGGCAAACGCGGGACAACGAGGCUGCUGAUGGAAGCGGGGAGCCAGGCCCUGUGCUUACAGUGCUGGGGCUCCCUGGAGUUCUCUGAAUCUACUAUUCAAGACUAUUUCAAGUCGGGUUGUGGAUGUCGGCUGUGCAUGCCCCUGAGCUCCUGCUAGAGCUCCAAAGUGGACAGGCCUUGUCCCACGAGGCUCUCUGCUCCACAGCCUGUCCAGCCAAGCAGUCACAGCACCACGCCGGAUAUGAAGGGGAAGCAGUUCACUGAGUAUCGGAUAUGUUUAUAAAAACAGAACACCCCUUCCGAAAGUACUAGGGAAAGUAUAAAAGCCAUAAGCUGCACAGGUUAGAAUGAGACAUCUAACAAUAAAUAUUUUUGGUAAUUUGCCCUGAA